rnacentral:rRNA from 1 species
GAUGAACGCUGGCGGCGUGCUUAACACAUGCAAGUCGAACGAAGCAUUUAAGACAGAUUACUUCGGUUUGAAGUCUUUUAUGACUGAGCGGCGGACGGGUGAGUAACGCGUGGGUAACCUGCCUCAUACAGGGGGAUAGCAGCUGGAAACGGCUGGUAAUACCGCAUAAGCGCACAGUACCACAUGGUACAGUGUGAAAAACUCCGGUGGUAUGAGAUGGACCCGCGUCUGAUUAGCUUGUUGGCGGGGUAACGGCCCACCAAGGCGACGAUCAGUAGCCGACCUGAGAGGGUGACCGGCCACAUUGGGACUGAGACACGGCCCAGACUCCUACGGGAGGCAGCAGUGGGGAAUAUUGCACAAUGGAGGAAACUCUGAUGCAGCGACGCCGCGUGAGUGAAGAAGUAGUUCGCUAUGUAAAGCUCUAUCAGCAGGGAAGAUAGUGACGGUACCUGACUAAGAAGCUCCGGCUAAAUACGUG